rnacentral:lncRNA from 1 species
UAUCUUCUUGACGUUGUCUUUGAUCUUUGUGCUGUUGCCUGAUUUUGAUUUUGAUUUUUGACUUUUGAAAGAAAUGGAAGGCAUGUUACACUGUAAUCUUUGAUGGAAGGAACUUUACUGUUUUCACAUUCACAUUUUUGUUGAAAUUGUUCUAAUAACAGAAUCCGAUGACACGUGAGAUCAAAACGAGACGGGAAUCAAAACUUUAACAAGUAACAACGCAAUGCACUAACUGGUACUGGAUAAUGUCACAGAUUAAGUAGCAGAUAUACAAUACAAGACAAGUGGACAUUUGCAAUAUUAUGUGAAUAUUUCCUAACUAUAAAUAUGUGAAUAUUGUAGUAGCAUUAUUGAAAGAGGAGCUUGGUUAAAAUAAAAUUAUUUAAAAAAUGGUUACUAAAAUAAACAAAAUAUGUAUUAUGAAUUUCGUGAAUACCACCUAAUAAUAUAACUUAAGAAUAAAUCUGAUGUCCAGGGAAUGGGUUUAGGUUAAAAAUAAAUGGCAUGAAUAUUUUAAUUUUGAUCAAUAUUUAA